AUUGAACGCUGGCGGCAUGCUUUACACAUGCAAGUCGAACGGUAACAGGUUAAGCUGACGAGUGGCGAACGGGUGAGUAAUGCAUCGGAACGUGCCCGAUCGUGGGGGAUAACGCAGCGAAAGCUGCGCUAAUACCGCAUACGAUCUGAGGAUGAAAGCGGGGGACCGUAAGGCCUCGCGCGAUCGGAGCGGCCGAUGUCAGAUUAGGUAGUUGGUGGGGUAAAGGCCCACCAAGCCGACGAUCUGUAGCUGGUCUGAGAGGACGACCAGCCACACUGGGACUGAGACACGGCCCAGACUCCUACGGGAGGCAGCAGUGGGGAAUUUUGGACAAUGGGCGAAAGCCUGAUCCAGCAAUGCCGCGUGCAGGAAGAAGGCCUUCGGGUUGUAAACUGCUUUUGUACGGAGCGAAAAGGUCCUUUCUAGUACAAGGGGCUCAUGACGGUACCGUAAGAAUAAGCACCGGCUAACUACGUGCCAGCCGCCGCCGUAA
rnacentral:rRNA from 1 species